UUAGAGUUUGAUCAAGGCUCAGGAUGAACGCUAGCUACAGGCUUAACACAUGCUAGUCGAGGGGAAACGACAUUGAAGCUUGCUUCGAUGGUCGUCGACCGGCGCACGGGUGAGUAACGCGUAUCCCACCUGCCUCUGACCAAGGGAUAACCCGUCGAAAGUCGGACUAAUACCUUAUGCAGUCGUCGGAAGUCAUCUGAUGACGACGAAAGAUUUCAUCGGUGAGGGAUGGGGAUGCGUCUGAUUAGCUUGUUGGCGGGGUAACGGCCCACCAAGGCGACGAUCAGUAGGGGUUCUGAGAGGAAGGUCCCCCACAUUGGAACUGAGACACGGUCCAAACUCCUACGGGAGGCAGCAGUGAGGAAUAUUGGUCAAUGGACGAGAGUCUGAACCAGCCAAGUAGCGUGCAGGAUGACGGCCCUAUGGGUUGUAAACUGCUUUUAUGCGGGGAUAAAGUGAGGGACGUGUCCUUCAUUGCAGGUACCGCAUGAAUAAGGACCGGCUAAUUCCGUGCCAGCAGCCGCGGUAAUACGGAAGGUCCGGGCGUUAUCCGGAUUUAUUGGGUUUAAAGGGAGCGUAUGCCGUGGAUUAAGCGUGUUGUGAAAUGUAGACGCUCAACGUCUGACUUGCAGCGCGAACUGGUCCACUUGAGUGUGCACAACGCAGGCGGAAUUCGUCGUGUAGCGGUGAAAUGCUUAGAUAUGACGAAGAACCCCGAUUGCGAAGGCAGCUUGCGGGGGCACGACUGACGCUGAAGCUCGAAAGUGCGGGUAUCGAACAGGAUUAGAUACCCUGGUAGUCCGCACGGUAAACGAUGAAUGCCCGUUGUCAGGCUAUUUUAGUCUGGUGACCAAGCGAAAGCAUUAAGCAUCCCACCUGGGGAGUACGCCGGCAACGGUGAAGCUCAAAGGAAUUGACGGGGGCCGCACAAGCGGAGGAACAUGUGGUUUAAUUCGAUGAUACGCGAGGAACCUUACCCGGGCUUGAAUUGCAGACGAACGAUUCAGAGAUGAAGACGGCUUCGGGGCGUCUGUGAAGGUGCUGCAUGGUUGUCGUCAGCUCGUGCCGUGAGGUGUCGGCUUAAGUGCCAUAACGAGCGCAACCCCUAUUCUCGGUUGCCAUCGGGUAAUGCCGGGCCUCCGUGGAGACUGCCACCGUAAGGUGUGAGGAAGGUGGGGACGACGUCAAAUCAGCACGGCCCUUACGUCCGGGGCUACACACGUGUUACAAUGGCCGGUACAGCGAGUCGGCCGCAUGCAAAUGCGGUCCAAUCCUGAAAGCCGGUCCCAGUUCGGACCGGGGUCUGCAACCCGACCCCACGAAGCCGGAUUCGCUAGUAAUCGCGAAUGAGCCAUGGCGCGGUGAAUACGUUCCCGGGCCUUGUACACACCGCC
rnacentral:rRNA from 1 species